GAGUUUGAUCAUGGCUCAGAUUGAACGCUGGCGGCAUGCCUUACACAUGCAAGUCGAACGGCAGCACGGGUGCUUGCACCUGGUGGCGAGUGGCGAACGGGUGAGUAAUACAUCGGAACAUGUCCUGUAGUGGGGGAUAGCACGGCGAAAGCCGGAUUAAUACCGCAUACGAUCUACGGAUGAAAGCGGGGGACCUUCGGGCCUCGCGCUAUAGGGUUGGCCGAUGGCUGAUUAGCUAGUUGGUGGGGUAAAGGCCUACCAAGGCGACGAUCAGUAGCUGGUCUGAGAGGACGACCAGCCACACUGGGACUGAGACACGGCCCAGACUCCUACGGGAGGCAGCAGUGGGGAAUUUUGGACAAUGGGCGAAAGCCUGAUCCAGCAAUGCCGCGUGUGUGAAGAAGGCCUUCGGGUUGUAAAGCACUUUUGUCCGGAAAGAAAUCCUUGGCUCUAAUACAGUCGGGGGAUGACGGUACCGGAAGAAUAAGCACCGGCUAACUACGUGCCAGCAGCCGCGGUAAUACGUAGGGUGCGAGCGUUAAUCGGAAUUACUGGGCGUAAAGCGUGCGCAGGCGGUUUGCUAAGACCGAUGUGAAAUCCCCGGGCUCAACCUGGGAACUGCAUUGGUGACUGGCAGGCUAGAGUAUGGCAGAGGGGGGUAGAAUUCCACGUGUAGCAGUGAAAUGCGUAGAGAUGUGGAGGAAUACCGAUGGCGAAGGCAGCCCCCUGGGCCAAUACUGACGCUCAUGCACGAAAGCGUGGGGAGCAAACAGGAUUAGAUACCCUGGUAGUCCACGCCCUAAACGAUGUCAACUAGUUGUUGGGGAUUCAUUUCCUUAGUAACGUAGCUAACGCGUGAAGUUGACCGCCUGGGGAGUACGGUCGCAAGAUUAAAACUCAAAGGAAUUGACGGGGACCCGCACAAGCGGUGGAUGAUGUGGAUUAAUUCGAUGCAACGCGAAAAACCUUACCUACCCUUGACAUGGUCGGAAUCCCGCUGAGAGGUGGGAGUGCUCGAAAGAGAACCGGCGCACAGGUGCUGCAUGGCUGUCGUCAGCUCGUGUCGUGAGAUGUUGGGUUAAGUCCCGCAACGAGCGCAACCCUUGUCCUUAGUUGCUACGCAAGAGCACUCUAAGGAGACUGCCGGUGACAAACCGGAGGAAGGUGGGGAUGACGUCAAGUCCUCAUGGCCCUUAUGGGUAGGGCUUCACACGUCAUACAAUGGUCGGAACAGAGGGUUGCCAACCCGCGAGGGGGAGCUAAUCCCAGAAAACCGAUCGUAGUCCGGAUUGCACUCUGCAACUCGAGUGCAUGAAGCUGGAAUCGCUAGUAAUCGCGGAUCAGCAUGUCGCGGUGAAU
rnacentral:rRNA from 1 species